rnacentral:rRNA from 1 species
AUUGAACGCUGGCGGCAGGCCUAACACAUGCAAGUCGAGCGGAUGACGGGAGCUUGCUCCUUGAUUCAGCGGCGGACGGGUGAGUAAUGCCUAGGAAUCUGCCUGGUAGUGGGGGACAACGUUUCGAAAGGAACGCUAAUACCGCAUACGUCCUCCGGGAGAAAGCAGGGGACCUUCGGGCCUUGCGCUAUCAGAGGAGCGUAGGUCGGAUUAGCUAGUUGGUGGGGUAAUGGCUCACCAAGGCGACGAUCCGUAACUGGUCUGAGAGGAUGAUCAGUCACACUGGAACUGAGACACGGUCCAGACUCCUACGGGAGGCAGCAGUGGGGAAUAUUGGACAAUGGGCGAAAGCCUGAUCCAGCCAUGCCGCGUGUGUGAAGAAGGUCUUCGGAUUGUAAAGCACUUUAAGUUGGGAGGAAGGGCAGUAAGUUAAUACCUUGCUGUUUUGACGUUACCGACAGAAUAAGCACCGGCUAACUCUGUGCCAGCCGCCGCAGUAA